rnacentral:rRNA from 1 species
GACGGAGGAUGCAAGUGUUAUCCGGAAUCACUGGGCGUAAAGCGUCUGUAGGUGGUUUAAUAAGUCAACUGUUAAAUCUUGAGGCUCAACCUCAAAAUCGCAGUCGAAACUAUUAGGCUAGAGUAUAGUAGGGGUAAAGGGAAUUUCCAGUGGAGCGGUGAAAUGCGUAGAUAUCGGAAGGAACACCAGUGGCGAAAGCGGCUUCCUGGUCCAGCACCGACGUUCAGGCACGAAAGCGUGGGGAGCAAACAGG